AUAUUGGACAAUGGGCGUAAGCCUGAUCCAGCCAUGCCGCGUGUGUGAAGAAGGUCUUCGGAUUGUAAAGCACUUUAAGUUCGGAGGAAGGGCAGUAAGUUAAUACCUUGCUGUUUUGACGUUACCGACCGAAUAAGCACCGGCUAACUUCGUGCCAGCAGCCGCGGUAAUACGAAGGGUGCAAGCGUUAACCGGGAUUACUGGGCGUAAAGCGCGCGUAGGGGGUUUGUUGAGUUGGAAGUGAAAACCCCGGGAACAAACCGGGGACUGGCUUCAAAACUGGCAAACUAGAGGAUGGCAGAGGGGGGUGGGAUUUCCCGGGGAGGGGAGAAAUGCGUAAAUAUAGGGAAGAACCCCAGUGGCGAAAGCCACCAACUGGGCUAAUACUUACCAUGAAGUGGGGAAGAGUGGGGAGCCAAC
rnacentral:rRNA from 1 species